GGGGAGAAAAAUUUGGAAAAGUGACAAAUAAAAAAUCUUACAAAUCUACAGGAUCUGGGUCUGUACGCAUCUCUGUGUGUCUAUGUAUUUAUAUGUGUUAUAGGUAUAUAAUAUUUCCCCAUCAAAAUAUAUAGAAGGGUCUAAUUAAUUGGCUUGCCAAAAAAAGCACUUAAAUCCAAUAUUUUAUCAGAAAAAUAGAAACUUUCAUUUGAAUAGCAUUCACUUCAUGUGACUUUAAUAAUCUUUGCUAGAGACAGUUUAAAAAUUAUUGGUAAAAUAGAAAUGUCUUCAAAACUUAAUUUAGAUAUCUGGGCUGAAUUAGUCAAGCAGGUCAGAUACUAUUGUCUGCUAGAUGUAUUAGGAUAAAAAAGUUUGCUUCUGUAAUACUUUUAAAGCUUGCUUAUCUCAUCUGUAAACCUAUGUGUCUUGAGAAUCAAGCCUUUGGACUAACCCCAGGCAUUGCCCUUCAUCCUGGGAUACGCAUCUGGUGCAUAAUUAAAACUGUUUACCUCCUAGAUUCUUCAAUAAAAAUAAGAGUUACCAAGAGUUCACAUUACAAUUAAUGUAUGUAAUUAAAACAUUACAUCUAUUGCUGCCUAGACCACCUUCUGGCUAUACACAAAGUGUAUUGUGAUGGUUAAUAUGAGGUGUGAACAUCACUAGACGGAGGAAUGCCUAGAUGGCUGGUAAAGGAUUGUUUCUGGGCGUGUCUGUGAGGGUGUUGUCAAAGGAGAUUGACAUUUGGGUCCGUGAACUAAGAGAAGAAGACACACCCUGAAUGUGGGCAGUACCAUCCCAUCAGCUGCCAGUGAGGCCAGAACAAAGCAAGCAGAAGAGAAAAGGGUGAGCAGCUUGCUCAUCACUCUCUCUGUCUUCCCGUGCUGGAUGCUUCCUUCCUCUCCUCCUGCCCUUGGACAUCAGACUUCCUGGUCUUUGGCCUUUGGACUCUGGGACUUGCACCAGCGGCCUCCUGGAGGAUUACAGGGCUUCAUCCUAAGACCGAGACCUACGCAGUCGGCUUCUCUGGUUUUGAGGCUUUUAGACUUGGACUGAGUCACACUACGGGCUUCUGUCUUUCCCCAGCUUGCCAAGAGCCUGUUGUGGGAUUUCUGCUCGUAAUCAUAUAACAGACCCUCAGGAUGGUUGGUAUUUGUGGAAUUAGCGUUCAGGCUGAGAGGGAGGGGGAACAACAGUGAAACUCCCCACGCCGACCAGCAUAGCACCUGCUGCCACCUGGUGGAACGUGGCUGAGACAAGGAACGCUGGGACCUGAAGCAGGACCUACACUUCAAACAAACAUCUGGCUUUGAAAUGUUUCCUGAAGGCAUCAAAUAAAUUGUGGCUGUCGAUGUUGUUGGCUGACUCUCCUCCUAUGAGAAUAAAAUUCAGAGACUGAUUCUGUAGGUUUCUGGUUGCAUGAUAAAUUUCAUCCUAGCCAGAUCUUCUAAGUGCAGCUGAGGGCCCUGAUGGGGAGAGUGGUGUAUUAGUUCCUCCCCUGCUGUAACAAAGCACCACUGACCUGGUGCCCACGCUCUCUUUUCUUCUG
rnacentral:lncRNA from 1 species